rnacentral:rRNA from 1 species
GACGAACGCUGGCGGCGUGCCUAAUACAUGCAAGUCGAACGCUUCUUUCCUCCCGAGUGCUUGCACUCAAUUGGAAAGAGGAGUGGCGGACGGGUGAGUAACACGUGGGUAACCUACCCAUCAGAGGGGGAUAACACUUGGAAACAGGUGCUAAUACCGCAUAACAGUUUAUGCCGCAUGGCAUAAGAGUGAAAGGCGCUUUCGGGUGUCGCUGAUGGAUGGACCCGCGGUGCAUUAGCUAGUUGGUGAGGUAACGGCUCACCAAGGCCACGAUGCAUAGCCGACCUGAGAGGGUGAUCGGCCACACUGGGACUGAGACACGGCCCAGACUCCUACGGGAGGCAGCAGUAGGGAAUCUUCGGCAAUGGACGAAAGUCUGACCGAGCAACGCCGCGUGAGUGAAGAAGGUUUUCGGAUCGUAAAACUCUGUUGUUAGAGAAGAACAAGGACGUUAGUAACUGAACGUCCCCGGACGGGAUCUAACCAGAAAGCCACGGCUAACUACGU